rnacentral:lncRNA from 1 species
UAUAUAUAUGUUAGACUCAGAUCUACGUCCGGCCUCUAAUCAACGUCCGUUCCUCAAAUUGACGUCCGUUUCACAAAUCGACGUCCAAAUCUGACGUCACAUUCUCAAAUCGACGUCCAAUAUUUUGAUACUCUAAUCUACGUCCAAUGUGACGGCACUACUUGCCAAAAACUACACCCGAUUGAUUGUUGUCGUCUUAAAUCAAUGUCCAAUAUCAAUAAAUAAUAAAUUAUUGGUCACAGAUAAGGCUUUUAGUUUAUUCGUUUGAAUUGUUUUACACUGUCAUUUCGGGGCCUUUUAUAGCUGACUAUAUAUGCGGUAUGGGCUUUGCGCAUUGUUGAAGGCCGUAUGGUGACCUAUAGUUGUAGAGAGUUGUCUCAUUGGCAGUCAUACCACAUCUUCUUUUUAUAUCAAUUGUUUACACUUAUACAUGUACAUAAUUUAUUUUUCAAUCCGAAAUAGGUAUCAUGCAUAUUAAAGUUUUUCUUGAUAUAAAGUUAAUCCAAUUGAUCCACAUCAAGGAGCGUGUGUCAUUCCUAUUCAUAAUAAUCAGGCAAUUAGUAAUGCAACCCAACGACUAAGAAAACCAAACGACAUGUAGGAGCUUUAUUCAGUCUUCAUCAAUAGACAAAAUAAAGAAGCACAGCCAAGUGUUUUGAGAGUAUUAUAAUUCGGGUUUUUAUUUUAACAAAUUUCUGAGUUUUACACCUGGAGUGAAACGUAAACACAAGAUAAUUGGCAUUAUGUUUUUAUGUUAUGCUUUUACAUCACUGUUCUAGGUUACAUUGUUUUGUAAGUGCUCACACUCAUGUGUAAGCCCUGACAAAUUCUGUAUGGGCCUGCAGUACAUUAGUUUCCCUGGUUUAUGUCUGUCAUAUUUGUUUUUCGGAAUUGUUUUUAAUAAAUAAGACCGUUAAUUUUCUUAUUUGAAUUGUUUACAUUAUUUAUGUCGUGGCCUUUUAUAGCCUUUGCGGUAUGGGUUUUUAUCAUUUCGAAAGCCGUAUGGUUUAUAAUUGCUCACAUCCAUUUUUUUUUAACUCUGGUGUAUAGUUGUCCCUUUGAAAAUCAUACCAAUCUCUGAAAAAUUGAAAUCACAACCUGUUUACAUACUUAGUCUAGUAUAAUAAUUAAAAAAAACCCACACAUUUAUUAUUUAUUCCGUAUUUUACUUAUAACUGGACUUAGUUUUUCUGCUAGAUCUUAUUUGUCUCACUCUCACAUACUAUGAUAUGUUUAAAGGUCUAAAUGUUUCAGCUGUUUUCGGUUCAGUUUAGUUUUGUAUUCUGUGUCCAAAACGGACGUUGAUUAUAGAAGCUCAAAAUCGGACGUCGAUUAGAAAAUGCCAAAAAAAUGGACGUCGAUUAGACAGGCAUAAAAUUAGCCGUCGAUUUGGAAUGUUAUUUUAUUGUGACGUCACAUUUGGACGUCGAUUUGAGGAACGGACGUCGAUUAG